rnacentral:rRNA from 1 species
UGGUGGAGUGAUUUGUCUGGUUAAUUCCGUUAACGAACGAGACCUCGACCUGCUAAAUAGUUGGCAUCAUCUUUUUGUUGGUGUGAUAAACUUCUUAGAGGGACUAUCGGUGUGUAGCCGAUGGAAGUUCGAGGCAAUAACA